rnacentral:piRNA from 1 species
UGUACAGUAGAUUUUGCAGAUGUAAUA